GCCUUUGUAGCUCAGUUGGUUAGAUGCAUCGGACUCUUAAUCCGAGGGUCGUGGGUUCGAUCCCCAUCGGAGGCA